rnacentral:lncRNA from 1 species
CCGGUCACAACCUACCAGCAACUAGAAGUCCGGAUAGCCUAAGAUGAGUUAAGGUACCUAUUCUAGGGUUGAGGAGGUCCCAAGUCGAAUCCUAGGAAGAUCGCCUUUCCUGAGGAUCGACUUCCAUGGGAUCGACUUCUGAAUAAAGUCGAUCACCAGGGAAGUCGACCCCCAGAAAGUCGAUCUCUGGAAAGUCGAUCUCGGGCCCCAAUCUGAUCAGUUAGGCAGUUAGGCGGUUACUGCCCAAAUG